GACGAACGCUGGCGGCGUGCCUAAUACAUGCAAGUCGAACGCAUUUUCUUUCACCGUAGCUUGCUACACCGAAAGAAAAUGAGUGGCGAACGGGUGAGUAACACGUGGGUAACCUGCCCAUCAGCGGGGGAUAACACUUGGAAACAGGUGCUAAUACCGCAUAAUUCCAUUUACCGCAUGGUAGAUGGAUGAAAGGCGCUUUUGCGUCACUGAUGGAUGGACCCGCGGUGCAUUAGCUAGUUGGUGGGGUAACGGCCUACCAAGGCUGCGAUGCAUAGCCGACCUGAGAGGGUGAUCGGUCACACUGGGACUGAGACACGGCCCAGACUCCUACGGGAGGCAGCAGUAGGGAAUCUUCGGCAAUGGACGCAAGUCUGACCGAGCAACGCCGCGUGAGUGAAGAAGGUUUUCGGAUCGUAAAACUCUGUUGUUAGAGAAGAACAAGGAUGAGAGUGGAAAGUUCAUCCCUUGACGGUAUCUAACCAGAAAGCCACGGCUAACUACGUG
rnacentral:rRNA from 1 species